rnacentral:rRNA from 1 species
UACAGAGGUCUCGAGCGUUAGGCGGAAUCACUGGGCUUAAAGCGUGUGUAGGCGGCGGGCUAAGUACCUUGUGAAAUCCCACGGCUUAACUGUGGAACUGCUGGGUAUACUGGUUCGCUUGAGCGGUCUAGGGGCGAGCGGAACAAAUGGUGGAGCGGUGAAAUGCGUAGAUAUCAGGAGGAACACCGGUGGCGAAGGCGGGACUCUGGGCCGAUACUGACGCUGAGGAGCGAAAGCGUGGGGAGCGAACAGG